CUAUGGAUAUUUGUGUUAGUUUCUUAAUCUACAUCUGCUAUUGUGCUUUUAGAUAUUCUCUCUUGUCAAAGUUGGGUUGUCCCAGAAUUGAUGAAAAAUGAGUAAUUGCUUACAAUUAGCCUUUCUAGAUUGUCUUACAAUUCCUGUGCUUUUGGUUGCAGGCAUAUGUGGAAAAGGUUCACAAGGCCUAGUGAAUGCAGAUUAGAAAAUUUAGCCACCUAAUUUGUGGAUUCUAUUUUAGGAAUUGUUAUUUAUUGUCUUAGAUGUGUAUUAUGUUUCCUUACACCCAGAUUUUUGUUUUAGGAUGAGGACAUUUUCCUUUGGGAUGAGGACCUUGGAGUUUAAGAGUUCCACCCAGAUAAGAAUUUAUAUAUCUAUCAUUAAAAGUGAAGGGUUGGAGAUUUCACAACCAGCACUUGAUCCUCAACUUUCUGAAAGGUCUUGCUGUGGAGAUUUCACAACCAGCUCUGGAAAUUUUUCAGUUACUUACUGUGCUUAGAACUGGGUUUUAACUUCCUUGGUAUCCAAAUUGAAAGAUCUUGUUGAGAGAAAAAAGCUAGAGGACUUGACAAUUGGUCCAGUUCUCACUGUAAGUACAUGUCUUUCAUUUUCUUAAAUUUAAAAU